rnacentral:rRNA from 1 species
GAUGAACGCUGGCGGCGUGCCUAGUACAUGCAAGUCGAGCGAACGGACGAGAAGCUUGCUUCUCUGAUGUUAGCGGCGGACGGGUGAGUAACACGUGGAUAACCUACCUAUAAGACUGGGAUAACUUCGGGAAACCGGAGCUAGUACCGGAUAAUAUUUUGAACCGCAUGGUUCAAAAGUGAAAGACGGUCUUGCUGUCACUUAUAGAUGGAUCCGCGCUGCAUUAGCUAGUUGGUAAGGUAACGGCUUACCAAGGCAACGAUGCAUAGCCGACCUGAGAGGGUGAUCGGCCACACUGGAACUGAGACACGGUCCAGACUCCUACGGGAGGCAGCAGUAGGGAAUCUUCCGCAAUGGGCGAAAGCCUGACGGAGCAACGCCGCGUGAGUGAUGAAGGUCUUCGGAUCGUAAAACUCUGUUAUUAGGGAAGAACAUAUGUGUAAGUAACUGUGCACAUCUUGACGGUACCUAAUCAGAAAGCCACGGCUAACUACGUG